GACGAACGCUGGCGGCGUGCUUAACACAUGCAAGUCGAACGGAAAGGCCCUGCUUUUGUGGGGUGCUCGUUUGGCGAACGGGUGAGUAACACGUGAGUAACCUGCCCUUGACUUUGGGAUAACUUCAGGAAACUGGGGCUAAUACCGGAUAGGAUCUCCUGCUGCAUGGUGGGGGUUGGAAAGUUUCGGCGGUUGGGGAUGGACUCGCGGCUUAUCAGCUUGUUGGUGGGGUAGUGGCUUACCAAGGCUUUGACGGGUAGCCGGCCUGAGAGGGUGACCGGCCACAUUGGGACUGAGAUACGGCCCAGAAGCCUAUGGGAGGCAGCAGUGGGGAAUAUUGCACAAUGGGCGGAAGCCUGAUGCAGCAACGCCGCGUGCGGGAUGACGGCCUUCGGGUUGUAAACCGCUUUCGCCUGUGACGAAGCGUGAGUGACGGUAAUGGGUAAAGAAGCACCGGCUAACUACGUG
rnacentral:rRNA from 1 species